rnacentral:rRNA from 1 species
CGCGAUUCGCCCUUCGGGGUGCAGCAGGCGCGAAAACUCCACAAUGUACGGAAGUACGAUGGGGUUAUCUCGAGUGCAGUCCGAUAAGGGCUGCUUUUCCAUAGAGUAAUAUCCUGUGGGAAUAAGAGGGGGGCAAGACUGGUGUCAGCCGCCGCGGUAACACCAGCCCCUCGAGUGGUGGGGACUAUUAUUUGGCCUAAAGCGUCCGUAGCUGGCUGUAUCCGUCCCCCGUUAAAUCCAGCGUCCUAAGCGUUGGACCGCGGGUGAUACCAUACAGCUAGAGGGUGGGAUAGGUGAGCGGUAUUUCUGGGGUAGGGGCGAAAUCCUUUGAUCCCAGGAGGACCACCAGUGGCGAAGGCUGCUCACUAGAACACGCCUGACGGUCAGGGACGAAAGCUGGGGCAGCGAACCGGAUUAGAUACCCGGGUAGUCCCAGCUGUAAACGAUGCUGCUAGGUGUUGGGUCGGCCACGCGCCGCCCCAGUGCCGCAGGGAAGCCGUUAAGCUAGCCGCCUGGGGAGUACGGCCGCAAGGCUGAAACUUAAAGGAAUUGGCGGGGGAGCAC